UAGGGAAUCUUCCGCAAUGGGCGAAAGCCUGACGGAGCAACGCCGCGUGAGUGAAGAAGGUCUUCGGAUCGUAAAACUCUGUUAUUAGGGAAGAACACAUGUGUAAGUAACUAUGCACGUCUUGACGGUACCUAAUCAGAAAGCCACGGCUAACUACGUGCCAGCAGCCGCGGUAAUACGUAGGUGGCAAGCGUUAUCCGGAAUUAUUGGGCGUAAAGCGCGCGUAGGCGGUUUUUUAAGUCUGAUGUGAAAGCCCACGGCUCAACCGUGGAGGGUCAUUGGAAACUGGUAAACUGGAGUGCGGAGGAGGAAAGUGGAAUUCCAUGGGUAGCGGUGAAAUGCGCAGAGAUAUGGAGGAACACCAGUGGCGAAGGCGACUUUCUGGUCUGUAACUGACGCUGAUGUGCGAAGGCGUGGGGGUCAAACAGG
rnacentral:rRNA from 1 species